UGAAGCGAUGAAUAUGAACAGUAAAUUAAAGGAACUGCCGGUCUGUAACCCUCUUAACAAAAGCAACAGCAACUCAAUAUAAUAUUUAAGAGCAAAUGACUACAAAAGGAGGACUGGAAUUAAAUAAACUGAAGAGAAUGUUCAAAAUGACUACAACGGAAAUGAAAGGAAAUACACAACAAGAAAGCUGAAAUAAAUUCUUCUCCAAGCUAGCUAUUCACUCUCUCUUCCUCUGCAUAUAAAGCCUGACCACCUUUCACCUGCCACGUGUCACCGACUGAUUGGGCGUGUGAUCCCAUGAAGAUUCUACCGUUAUAGCAAGCACAUUCCAUUCACGUGCUUAGCUAUCAUAUACUGUAUUAAAUAUCAUACGACGUGGUUAUAUUAUCACAGCUGGCUACACGGUCAUAUUUUUCGGGCUACACAAUCCAAAUAUCCUGGCUAGAAAACAGAAAAAUAAAACUUAAACUUGAGGCCCUCAGUGCUCUCAUGAAUAAAAUGUCCUCCAGUCUGUCGUAGAUGAUAUAUCAGAGAUAAGAGAUACGAGAAUUCACAGGAAAGUAGGAAACCGGAAUGGGAGCUUUGCUUUUCGACUUGUGGUUUGAUGAUAAACAAUUAGGCUUAUCUUUCACAUUUUCUUUAUCGUUUACUCGCGCAGAAGAUGAGGGGCUAAAACAACCCAGCAUGCCUGAGAAAAUACCCAUUUUACGUCAAAAAAACUAAGUAUGUGUACUUGUAUAGAUAGAUUGUUUUAUACCAGUAGGCAGUAGCAGUUAAGAAAGCGAGAAAGAAGAAGGCUUAUAUUUUCAACUUGGUGUUUGAGAAUCUCUCUUUUAUAGGCAUUUCGUAGCUUCACGGAAGUAUCUUCGCAUUUGGCCCAUUACGUCAUAAAUAUUAACAAUUUUGUUAAUAAAUAAUUAAAUACCUGCAUAUGUUGAAGCAAUCACAUGUUGUAUGAUGAUGAGUUGAACUUGC
rnacentral:lncRNA from 1 species